ensembl:snoRNA
UGGACCAGUGAUGACAACUGGUGUAUAUUAUUGUUGUAUAUGAUGAAUAGUACAUGUACAACCUUUGAGCUCCAA